ACUGGCAAUUUUCCUUUUCUUUUCUAGUACAAGGACGCAUUUAUGAAGGCAAAUCCAGGAUACAAGUGGUGCCCCACAACAAACCGACCUGUGAAAUCCCAGACAUCCACUGAUACAAACAGGAAAAAGCUAUGGGCCUUUGCUUCAGACUCUGCAAAAGAUUUACCAAGCCCGAGGAAAGUGACAAAAAGUGACAAAAUGCCACAGCGUAACAUUGGGAUGGCAGAUCCGACACAAAUGGGAGGCCUGAGUAUGCUGCUUUUAGCAGGGGAGCAUGCCCUGACUGCACAAGAGGUAAGGAACUCUCUUCUCUCCCUUACCGCGAGCCCUCAGUUUAAAGAGAGCUCUGAGGAAGAGUAUUUGACCAGUGGGAAAUGCAAUUUAAGGUACAUACCUCAGGUGGGACUGAAGAGUGAGCUCUGUGAUAGGAGUCUUGUAUCCCAGCCAUGAAUGUAGAGGUUGGGCCCAGUUUUUGUAUCAGUUCAGUAUUACCUCUGCUGAGUGAGUGUUUGAUUAGAGCAGGCAAGUGUGCCCCCUGAGAGGAUGUUGUCACAGGUGGAAGGCUUGAAAUGCAGUGAGUGUGUUAAGACACAGGUGGUUUGCAAUCUCUUUUGGGCAAGGAUUUCAUCUGCUUGUGUAAUGCCUCGCACAACUGUGGCCUUGGCACCAACAGCAAAAUAAAUACCUGAUAAUUUGCUCCU